rnacentral:rRNA from 1 species
AUUGAACGCUGGCGGCACGCCUAACACAUGCAAGUCGAGCGGCAGCGAGAGUAGUAGCAAUACUACUUGUCGGCGAGCGGCGGACGGGUGAGGAACACGUAGGAAUCUGCCCAGAAGAGGGGGAUAACCAAGGGAAACUUUGGCUAAUACCGCAUAAUCUCGAGAGAGAAAAGCUGCCCGUAAGGGUGGCGCUUUUGGAGGAGCCUGCGUCCGAUUAGCUAGUUGGUAGGGUAAGAGCCUACCAAGGCGAUGAUCGGUAACUGGUCUGAGAGGACGACCAGUCACACUGGGACUGAGACACGGCCCAGACUCCUACGGGAGGCAGCAGUGGGGAAUAUUGGACAAUGGGGGAAACCCUGAUCCAGCGAUGCCGCGUGAGUGAAGAAGGCCUUCGGGUCGUAAAGCUCUUUAGGUUGGGAAGAAGGGUAUUGAGCGAAUACCUCAGUACUU